UACGGAGGGGGCUAGCGUUGUUCGGAAUUACUGGGCGUAAAGCGCACGUAGGCGGCUUUGUAAGUUAGAGGUGAAAGCCCAGGGCUCAACCCUGGAAUUGCCUUUAAGACUGCAUCGCUUGAAUCAUGGAGAGGUGAGUGGAAUUCCGAGUGUAGAGGUGAAAUUCGUAGAUAUUCGGAAGAACACCAGUGGCGAAGGCGACUCACUGGACAUGUAUUGACGCUGAGGUGCGAAAGCGUGGGGGAGCAAACAGG
rnacentral:rRNA from 1 species